AGCCGUAAACCCAAGUGACUAACCAAACAAAGCCACUCGCCAGAGUACUACCAGCAACAGCCAAAAACUCAAAGGACUUGACGGUGCUCCACAUCCCCCUAGAGGAGUCUGUUCUAUAACCGAUAAACCCCGAUAUACCCUACCACCUCUUGCCAACCCAGCCUGUAUACCGCCAUCUUCAGCAAACCCCCCAGGGCAUGAAAAGUAAGCCCAAUAAUCCACAUAAAAACGUUAGGUCAAGGUGCAGCCCAUGAGGUGGAAGAAAUGGACUACAUUUUCUAAUCUAGAACAACCCACCCACGACAGCCUUCAUGAAAUCUGAAGACCAAAGGAGGAUUUAGCAGUAAAUUAAGAAUAGAGAGCUUAAUU
rnacentral:rRNA from 1 species